rnacentral:rRNA from 1 species
AGAGGGUGCAAGCGUUAAUCGGAAUUACUGGGCGUAAAGCGCGCGUAGGCGGGCAUUUAAGUCGAUUGUGAGAUCCCCGGGCUCAACCUGGGAAUUGCAUUCGAUACUGGGUGCCUAGAGUAUGGUAGAGGAUAGUAGAAUUCCCGGUGUAGCGGUGAAAUGCGUAGAUAUCGGGAGGAAUACCAGUGGCGAAGGCGGCUAUCUGGACCAAUACUGACGCUGAGGUGCGAAAGCGUGGGGGAGCAAACAGGAUUAGAGACCCUGGUAGUCCACGCUGUAAACGAUGAGAACUAGGUGUCAGGAAGCUUAGACUUCUUGGUGCCGUAGCUAACGCGUUAAGUUCUCCGCCUGGGAGUACGGCCGCAAAGGUUA